rnacentral:rRNA from 1 species
UACGUAGGGUGCAAGCGUUAAUCGGAAUUACUGGGCGUAAAGAGCGCGCAGGCGGUCGUACAAGUCGCGUGUGAAAGCCCCCGGCUCAACUGGGGAGGGUCACGCGAUACUGUUCGACUCGAAGGCAGGAGAGGGAAGUGGAAUUCCCGGUGUAGUGGUGAAAUGCGUAGAUAUCGGGAGGAACACCAGUGGCGAAGGCGACUUCCUGGCCUGUUCUUGACGCUGAGGCGCGAAAGCUAGGGUAGCAAACGGG